rnacentral:rRNA from 1 species
UACGGAGGGAGCUAGCGUUGUUCGGAAUUACUGGGCGUAAGCGCACGUAGGCGGCUUUGUAAGUUAGAGGUGAAAGCCUGGAGCCCAACUCCAGAAUUGCCUUUAAGACUGCAUCGCUUGAAUCAUGGAGAGGCGGGUGGAAUUCCGAGUGUAGAGGUGAAAUUCGUAGAUAUUCGGAAGAACACCAGUGGCGAAGGCGGCCCGCUGGACAUGUAUUGACGCUGAGGUGCGAAAGCGUGGGGAGCAAACAGG